CAGUAGCCGCGGUAAUACGUAGGUCCCGAGCGUUGUCCGGAUUUAUUGGGCGUAAAGCGAGCGCAGGCGGUUAGAUAAGUCUGAAGUUAAAGGCUGUGGCUUAACCAUAGUACGCUUUGGAAACUGUUUAACUUGAGUGCAGAAGGGGAGAGUGGAAUUCCAUGUGUAGCGGUGAAAUGCGUAGAUAUAUGGAGGAACACCGGUGGCGAAAGCGGCUCUCUGGUCUGUAACUGACGCUGAGGCUCGAAAGCGUGGGGAGCAAACAGGAUUAGAUACCCGCGUAGUCCCUGUCUCUUAUACA
rnacentral:rRNA from 1 species